CCUUUCGAAAGAAAGAUUAAUACCCGAUGUAAAAGAUGGGGAUGCGUUCCAUUAGGUUGUUGGUGAGGUAACGGCCCACCAAGCCUUCGAUGGAUAGGGGUUCUGAGAGGAAGGUCCCCCACAUUGGAACUGAGACACGGUCCAAACUCCUACGGGAGGCAGCAGUGAGGAAUAUUGGUCAAUGGGCGCUAGCCUGAACCAGCCAAGUAGCGUGAAGGAUGAAGGCUUAUGGGUCGUAAACUUCUUUUAUAUAAGAAUAUGUAUUAUAUGAAUAAGGAUCGGCUAACUCCGUGCCAGCAGCCGCGGUAAUACGGAGGAUCCGAGCGUUAUCCGGAUUUAUUGGGUUUAAAGGGAGCGUAGGUGGACUGGUAAGUCAGUUGUGAAAGUUUGCGGCUCAACCGUAAAAUUGCAGUUGAUACUGUCAGUCUUGAGUACAGUAGAGGUGGGCGGAAUUCGUGGUGUAGCGGUGAAAUGCUUAGAUAUCACGAAGAACUCCGAUUGCGAAGGCAGCUCACUGGACUGCAACUGACACUGAUGCUCGAAAGUGUGGGUAU
rnacentral:rRNA from 1 species